rnacentral:rRNA from 1 species
CAGAACGAACGCUGGUGGCGUGUCUUAUACAUGCAAGUCGAGCGGUCCGCAAGGAUAGCGGCGAACGGGUGAGUAACGCGUAAGCAAUCUGCCCCGCAUAUUGGGAUAGCCGUGCCAACGCGCGGAUAAUACCGAAUAACGUGGCCCCGGACAUCCGGGGUUGACGAAAGAUUCAUCGAUGCGGGAUGAGCUUGCGUCCGAUUAGCUAGUUGGCGGGCAACGGCCCACCAAGGCGACGAUCGGUAGCCGGCCUGAGAGGGUGAUCGGCCACAUUGGGACUGAGAUACGGCCCAGACUCCUACGGGAGGCAGCAGUAGGGAAUAUUGCACAAUGGGGGAAACCCUGAUGCAGCAACGCCAACCGUGUGGGAAGAAGCAUUUCGGUGUGUAAACCACUGUCGUGAGGGAAUAAUACGCGAUUUCGGUCGCGGGAGAAUGUACCUCGAAAGGAAGCACCGGCAAACUUCGUGCCAGCAGCCGC